AAAUUUCAGUGCCCUAGAUAGACCAUUUUAGAGCAAACAAUUUAAAGUAAAUUAACAUUUUUCCCUUUAGUCUUCAUAACUACUAUUAUAUGAAUGUCUCCCAAAAUUCAUGUGUUGAAACCUAAUCACCAAUAUGGUAGUAUUAAGAGAUGGAGCCUUUAGGAGAUGAUUAAGACAGAAGCUCAGAGCCCUCAUGGACAAAAGCAGGGCCCUUAUCAAAACUAUGGAGGUAUGGGUUUGUUUUUUCCCAUCCUUUCUGUCUUGUGAGGGCACAGUAUUCAUCCUCUCCAAAGGAUGCAGCAACAAGGCAUCUUACAAGGUCUUGUAAGCAGAAGAGAGCCUUCAACAGAUGUUGGUGUCUUGUUCUUGGACUUCCCAGCCUCCAAAACUGUGAGAAAUACCUUUUUGUUGUUUAUAGAUGACUCAGUCUCAGGAAUUUUGUUAUAGCAGGACAAACAGACUAAAAGAACAAUGUCCCCAUUUUUUUCUUUCAUGCUAACCACUAUAAUUUUUAAUUACAGAUUCAUUUGUCUACCUCUUUAUUAUGUCUCACCUCAAGUAGACUGGGAGUCUCUACAUUCACGCUCCUACAGAACCCAGGGCCAGCAGUCAAUCUGGGAAGAAAUGCAAGCAACUACAGGGAACAGUAAGUGCAGAGAAUUAUUAAUUUUCCCAGAGAAGAGCAAGUGCCAAAUUGCCUGCCAUAUGAAUGGACCAUCUUGGGAAUGAAUUCUCCAUCCGACACUACUUGGAACAGAUAAGCUGUCCUGGUCAAGUCUACACAAAUUGCAAAAUUAUGAAGUAAAAAGUGAUUGUUAGUAUUUUAAGCAUCUAAGAAUUUGGUUGAUUUGGGUUAUACAGCAAUAGAUAACCAAAACAGAAUUCAAAACUCUGAAGUGUGGUGGUACUGUAAACAAACUCAAAAUCUGUGGCACUGUCCUUAGAAUGGGUAUUGUGGGGAGAGGUGGGCAGAGGCCUGAAGAGCCUCAAGGAGACACUUAAUGAAGGUUUGAAAUAGAGUGAUGAAAUUGUUAUAGGAGUUCUCCUUUUACGGGUCGGGGAAGGUGUAGCAACAUCAUAAUCUGUGAUAAUAUGGAAGAUAGAAAGUCUACCUAAUGAAAUCAUGAUUAAAGAGAUGUCCGGGAAAAAUUUUCAAGUGCCAACUGGCUUCUUUUAACUGCACAGUAAAGUGCCAGAAAAUUGAGAUAAGCUAAAAAAAAAAAGCAGAACUGUUCAGUUAUCAAGCAGAAUUUAGAGAAACUAUAAAAAAAUGGCCAGGCAUGGUGGCUCGUGUCUGUAAUCCUAGCACUUUGGGAGGCUGAAGCAGGCAGGUCACCUGAGGCCAGGAGUUUGAGACCAGCCUGGCCAUCAUGGAGAAACCUGGUCUCUACUAAAAAUACAAAAAUUAGUUGGGUGUGGUGGCGCAUGCCUGUAAUCCCAGCUACUCAGGAGGCUGAGGGAGGAGAAUCAUUUGAACCCAGGAGGCAGAGAUUGCAGUGAGCUGAGAUUGUGCCACUGCAGUCUAGGCUGGGUGACAGAGUGAGACUCUGACUCAAAAAAAUAAUAAUAAUAAAAUAUAAAAAAUAAAAAAGCCUGAUGCACUGGGUUUGGAAAUAAAACGUUUUCUCAUUCUUAACCUCUCCAGGCAGCAAAAUUUCACAAUGUAAGAAAUAGGCUCAGGACAAGCAUCAAAUCCAAGGUAUUGUCUUCAAUGUGUGGCCUCACGUUCCAGAGUGUAGCCUAACACCUUGCUAUGGUCCAAAUGUUUGUGUCCUCCAAAGCUCACGCUGAAAUUUAAUUGCCAUUGUAACAACGCUGAGAAGUGGGAAUGGGAUCUUCAAGAGGUAACUGGGCCAUAAGGGCUCCACUCUCAUGGGUGCGAUUAAUGCUGUUAUAAAAAGUGUGAAUUUGGCCCUUUUUUCUCUCUUGCCUUUCUCCCGUCUCCCAUGUGAUGACAGAGCAAGAAGGUCUUUGCAAGAGCCCAACACCUCGAUAUUGGACUUACCAGCCUCCAGAAUUGUAAGCUAAUAAUUUUCUGUUAAUUAUUUAUUAUCAGUCUCAG
rnacentral:lncRNA from 1 species